rnacentral:lncRNA from 1 species
GCGGUCCAGGGUUCCAUUAAGAAAUAAAGCAGACUGUUACUCUGAAUGGACAAGGCAAGGGCUUUUACCAGAUCAAUAGCAAAGACACGGCCAUGCACACACAGAGGAAGUCAGCCAGUCUCGGUGACCUUUUCAUGAACUUUCUAGGAGAUGGCAGAUCAUUCAAAGGGGCAAAGAUGAGGCAAACUGGUUUAGUGACUUGUCCAGGGUCACACAGAUUAUGGCAUGCAGUCAGGAGGCUGGUCCAUUCAAUUAGUACAUCUCAU